GUGCCGAGCAGCAAAAAUUUGUGUCAAGGUUCUGGAGGCCAUUCAAUAAACAGUUGGGCAUUGAAUUGUCAUUUUCCUCUGCUUGCCAUCCCCAAACUAAUGGUACGGCUGAGAGAGCUAGCCAAUCACUUGAGCUGUAUUUUACGUUGCUUUGUGAAUAGUACACAGUCUAACUGGGAUGAAUUAUUGCCCUGGGCCAAAUUACUUUUGG